CAUUAUUGAAUAAGUUGAGGGGUUGUAGCUGGCUCUUCGGGGCAUGUGCACGCCUUUCAAACUCAUCUCAACCACCUGUGCACCCUUUGUAGACCUGGAAAUGGAUCUCUCAGGGCAACUUGGAUUUUGAGGGUUCUGCUGGCUUUCCCAUAAGUUGGCUUCCCUUUGCUGUUUUCAGCGUCUAUGUUUUACAAUAUACACCAUUUAAAUGUUAUAGAAUGUCUUUGAUGGGGCCUGUCGUAAAAAAGCAGCGUCCUUUAAAAAUUAUACAACUUUCAACAACAGAUCUCUUGGCUCUCGCAUCGAUGAAGAACGCAGCGAAAUGCGAUAAGUAAUGUGAAUUGCAGAAUUCAGUGAAUCAUCGAAUCUUUGAACGCACCUUGCGCUCCUUGGUAUUCCGAGGAGCAUGCCUGUUUGAGUGUCAUUAAAUUCUCAACCCAUCCAGCUUUUGUUAGUUGAAUGUGGCUUGGAUUGUGGGGGGUUGUGCGGGCUUUAUCAAGUCGGCUCCCUUUAAAUGCAUUAGCGGAAAACCCUUGUGGACCGUCUUUUGGUGUGAUAAUUAUCUACGCCAUCGCCGUGAAGCAGCUAUACAAAUGGAUGGGUCUUUCAGCUUCAAACCGUCCCUUAGAAGGACAACACUCAAUUGACAUUUUGACCUCAAAUCAGGUAGGACUACCC
rnacentral:rRNA from 1 species